GGGGGCGACUUGGCUUCGACGGGGGUGGAGAAUUCGAGAGCGCGUGCCGAGGUCCCCGACAACCUCGUUAAUCCUCGGGAACUCUUACAAACGCCGACGAUAACUCGUACGCGUUGGCCGCCUGAGCAAUCAGGUAGCCCGUCGGGGCCGGUGGAGCCUGCGCCGCCGGCCUCGGCGACAUCAUAGCAGGCUAGCUUGCGGCGACCGUCCCGGCUCCGCCGGCGAAACCUUCGGGGCUGGUCCUAUCCGGAUCCUGUCGAUCGGAACCGGUGCGGACGAGAGAGCUCCAGAGUAGAUCGACUACGCACGUAGGGGUCUCGAAGGACUCGCCUUCGGACGCGGGUUCGAUUCCCGCCGCCUCCACCA
rnacentral:tmRNA from 1 species